GUAGGUGGCAAGCGUUGUCCGGAAUUAUUGGGCGUAAAGCGCGCGCAGGUGGUUCUUUAAGUCUGAUGUGAAAGCCCCCGGCUCAACCGGGGAGGGUCAUUGGAAACUGGGGAACUUGAGUGCAGGAGAGGAAAGUGGAAUUCCACGUGUAGCGGUGAAACUGCGUAGAUAUGUGGAGGAACACCAGUGGCGAAGGCGACUUUACUGGCCUGUAACUGACACUGAGGCGCGAAAGCGUGGGGAGCAAACAGGGAUUAGAUACCCUGGUAGUCCACGCCGUAAACGAUGAGUGCUAAGUGUUGGGGGGGUUUCCCGCCCCGUCAGUGCUGCAGCUAACGCAUUAAGCACUCCGCCUGGGGAUACGGUCGCAAGACUG
rnacentral:rRNA from 1 species